UACGGGGGGAGCAAGCGUUGUUCGGAUUUACUGGGCGUAAAGGGCGCGUAGGCGGUCGUGACAAGUCACUUGUGAAAUCUCCGGGCUUAACUCGGAACGGUCAAGUGAUACUGUCGGACUAGAGUACAGAAGGGGCAACUGGAAUUCUCGGUGUAGAGGUGAAAUUCGUAGAUAUUAGGAAGAACACCAGUGGCGAAGGCGGCUCACUGGCCCGGUACUGACGCUGAGGCGCGAAAGCGUGGGGAGCAAACAGG
rnacentral:rRNA from 1 species